rnacentral:rRNA from 1 species
CAGCAGCCGCGGUAAAACGUAGGUGGCAAGCGUUGUCCGGAAUUAUUGGGCGUAAAGGGCUCGCAGGCGGUUUCUUAAGUCUGAUGUGAAAGCCCCCGGCUCAACCGGGGAGGGUCAUUGGAAGCUGGGAAACUUGAGUGCAGAAGAGGAGAGUGGAAUUCCACGUGUAGCGGUGAAAUGCGUAGAGAUGUGGAGGAACACCAGUGGCGAAGGCGACUCUCUGGUCUGUAACUGACGCUGAGGAGCGAAAGCGUGGGGAGCGAACAGGAUUAGAUACCCCUGUAGUCCCUGUCUCUUAUAC